CCGAGUGAGGGCGUUAACGCCCGACCUCCAACCCUUUGUGAACCAACCUCUGUUGCCUCGGGGGCGACCCGGCCCUUCGGGUGUCGGGGCCCUCGGUGGACCACACUUCAACUCUGCGUCUUUGCGUCUGAGUCUUAUGAUAAAUCAAUCA
rnacentral:misc_RNA from 1 species